CUAAAAUUAAUAAUAGAAAAUUUAUCAAUUUAUUUUGUAUCUUAGUUUACUGAGGAUAAGCUCAGUAAAAAUAAUAAAAUAGUAUACACCUCAUUUAAUUAGCCGCAUGGGCUUGAAAUUAGCCAUUGUAUUAAAGUUUGUUACAAAAUAGUCUUUACAUGCAGAAAGAUUAAUAUACUUUUUUUUAUAGGGGUAACACGAAAAACCAAGAUAUCUUGAUUCACUUAUGCUAGGAUGAGUAUUGACAUAUAAGAUAUGUAAACAAAAAAAAUAAAAAGAUAUAUAAAAUAACUUUACUUAAAAUAAAAUAAGAAUAAGGAAUUCAGCAAACACUUAGCUCCGCCUGUUUAUCAAAAACAUGGCUCUUUGUUAAUUAAAUAUAAAGAGUCGGACCUGCCCAGUGAAGUUUUAACGGCCGCGGUACUCUGACCGUGCAAAGGUAGCAUAAUCAUUUGCCUUAUAAUUGAAGGCUUGUAUGAAUGGUUUGACGGGAGCAUUACUGUCUUUUUCUUACUUUAUAGAACUUGACCUCUAGGUGAAGAGGCCUAGAUACAGUUGAAAGACAAAAAGACCCUGUCGAGCUUAAAAAGGAAUCAGAAUAAUUUUAUUAUCAAAGAUUAAUUACUGACUAAUUUUUUUGGUUGGGGCGACCAAGGAACAAAAAAGCUUCCUCUAUUUUCUUAGCUAAUAAGCACAGAUCCAGAAAAAGCUGAUUAAAAGAAAUAGUUACCGCAGGGAUAACAGCAUAAUCUCUCUUGAGAGACCUAAUCGAAAGAGGGGGUUGUGACCUCGAUGUUGGACUAGAAUACCCUAAAGACGCAGAAGUCU
rnacentral:rRNA from 1 species